UUUAUAACAUGUAUACUCAGACAUCUGAUGUUUUUUGAAAGGCAAUUACAACAGCAGAUUUUACGAAAAAACAUAUAAAUGCGGAUUUCCAUAAUCGUUCAAAUUUGCUGUAAAGAUUUAACGAUUGCUAAUUUUCACCACGUUGCUGCUGUGCUCCGCACGUGUGCAUAUGUGAGACUUUAGUCUAAAGCCACGAUUCUAACGUAGUUUGUUUCUAAAACUAUUAAAGCUCGUUAACAUAUUACAUUUAGUAUGUUGCUAGUUCUCAGAUAAUCACAAAUUUUUGUGUUUUUUACAGAACGUUGCGUGUUUAGACAAUGACCAUGAGUUUGGCCUCGUCUUCUGUUCAGACAUCCAUCAUGCUAUUACCAAAUGGGUAACCAUAACUGCAUCCAUCUUAAGAUAACCUUACCAGAUCAUGCCUUUACCAAAUGGGAAACCAUAAAUGAAGUCAGACACGGAUUGUGCCAUAAUCAAAUGGGUAUCCAGAAGUGAACAUUAAGUCAAACACUGGACAUGUUUUGAUUCAGGAUGCCCUUGAGAUGUGUGACCCUUGAUGACAGCCUAAGAAGGUGUCUUCUAGAGAGCUUGUGCUGCUCCUGAAAAGCUGUGUGAAGUGAAUUUCUAGUUCCUUGUGGUGUCAGAGUACUUGGAAAAGCUGAAAUUAUAAUAUUGUGUAUGUUGAGUGUUUAAGUAAAAUUUGGUGAAUAAAACUUCAACCAUGCAAA